AUGGCGCCGCCUAGCGGGCGGGCGGAGAGGAAAAGAGGCGGUGCCCCGCAGGGGGAGCCCAAGCGUGCUAGCAGGGCAGGAGGGCAGACCUGCCAGGGCCGGAGAAAACGGUCCUUCCCACGCGCGCGUUUCAUCUUGGGACAGCGCUGGACGCGUGAGCCAUCGCACCCGGUCCGUUCACUAAACUUUAGUGUUAAUCAAAUUAAAACAUAUUUUUUGGUCCUCCCUCGGACUGUGACACCCAGCACGGAGCCGCAGGGGUGGCGGUCCGGAGUCGGAGUCGUGGUGACCAGCUGCAAGUAUUCGCGUUGCGUCCUCCUGGAGAAGAGGAAAGGGUCUUUCGGAGCUGGCAGUUUCCAGCUCCCUGGGGGUCAUUUGGAGUUUGGUGAGAGCUGGGAAGAAUGUGCUCGAAGGGAAACGUGGGAAGAAGCUCUUCACCUGAUACAUGUUCGCUUUGCCUCAGUUGUAACUUCUCUCAUUGGGAAGGAAAAUUACCAUUAUGUUACUAUAUUAAUGAAAGGAGAAGUAGACGUGACUCAUGAUUCAGAACCAGAGAGUGUAGAGCCUGAAAAAAAUGAAAGUUGGAAGGAGGUUCCCUGGGAAGAAUUUCCUCCACUAGACCAGCUUUUCUGGGCCCUGUGUUCUUUGAAAGAACAAGGCUAUGAUCCAUUUAAAGAAGAUCUGAACCAUCUGGUAGGAUGCAAAGGAAAUCAUCUCUAGGGGGCUGAGAAGAUUUCUUGAUUUUCUUUAAAAGACAAAAAUAAGGUCGGGUUAGAGAAUGAAAAAUAUCUGCAUUUCGGAACAACUCCAUUUUAUCUAUAAAAGUUCUUGUGAUCACCAGUUUAUUUCCAGUCUCUUGAUGUACCCACCACCCCUUCAGCCAGUACUUGAGAAUAUUUUUUUGAAAUAUGUAAUUGAAUUGUAUUUCAGACACAGAAUAUAUGAUAAAUAAUAUGUUAUUUAUGGGUAAUCUGCUUUCCAUGUUUAUCUAUGACAUUUACUGUGCAGUUUGUCAUUACUAGCUUGCAUGGAAUAGGAUGCUAUCGAAUUUGCCUUAGUGUUCUGUUCAAAUAGAAAUCCAAAUUCAAAUAUUGUAGUUUAGAUUCAAACACAGUCUGCCUGUUGCAAAAUUUACCAAGUUUGUUGAUGUACCUCUUUUAUUUAAAAAAAUUGGGUGGGGGGUAAUAUAUUAUGACAGUCUUUGCAACUUACAGGGAAUAGGACAGGCCAUUGGGGUGUAUUUCCCAAGUUUCCAAUUGAGAACCUAAACCAAGAGAAGUGACAUAAACCAUCUAAUAUCCUACCAUUAGCAGGCUGUGAGAGUGAUUUCUCACUUACUCUCUGUCGCCAGGCUGGAGUGCAGUGGCCCAGUCUUGGCUUACUGCAACCUCUGCCUCACAGCCUAAU